AGCGAACGCUGGCGGCAGGCCUAACACAUGCAAGUCGAACGAACCUUUCGGGGUUAGUGGCGGACGGGUGGGUAACCCGUGGGAACGUGCCUUUAGGUUCGGAAUAACUCAGGGAAACUUGUGCUAAUACCGAAUGUGCCCUUCGGGGGAAUGAUUAAUCGCCUUUGGAGCGGCCCGCGUCUGAUUAGCUAGUUGGUUGAGGAAAUGGCUUACCAAGGCGACGGUCAGUAGCUGGUCUGAGAGGAUGAUCCGCCACAUUGGGACUGAGACACGGCCCAAACUCCUACGGGAGGCAGCAGGGGGGAAUCUUGCGCGAUGGGCGAAAGCCUGACGCAGCCAUGCCGCGUGAAUGAUGAAGGUCUUAGGAUUGUAAAAUUCUUUCACCGGGGACGAUAAUGACGGUACCCGGAGAAGAAGCCCCGGCUAACUUCGUG
rnacentral:rRNA from 1 species